rnacentral:rRNA from 1 species
UACGGAGGGGGCUAGCGUUGUUCGGAAUUACUGGGCGUAAAGCGCGCGUAGGCGGCUUUGUAAGUUAGAGGUGAAAGCCCGGAGCUCAACUCCGGAACUGCCUUUAAAACUGCAUCGCUUGAAUCCAGGAGAGGUGAGUGGAAUUCCGAGUGUAGAGGUGAAAUUCGUAGAUAUUCGGAAGAACACCAGUGGCGAAGGCGGCUCACUGGACUGGUAUUGACGCGUGAGACGGCGAAAGGCGUGGGGAGCGAACGGG